rnacentral:rRNA from 1 species
AUUGAACGCUGGCGGCAUGCCUUACACAUGCAAGUCGAACGGAGUGGCGAACGGGUGAGUAAUGCAUCGGAACCUGCCCGGUAGCGGGGGAUAACGUCGGGAAAGGGUAGCUAAUACCGCAUACUAUCGGAGGGGCCGAGAUCGGAUUAGCUAGUUGGUGGGGUAAAGGCCUACCAAGGCGACGAUCCGUAACUGGUUUGAGAGGAUGACCAGGCACACUGGAACUGAGACACGGCCCAGACUCCUACGGGAGGCAGCAGUGGGGAAUUUUGGACAAUGGGCGAAACCCUGAUCCAGCCAUCCCGCGUGUGCGAAGAAGGCCUUCGGAUUGUAAAGCACUUUAAGUUGGGAGGCGGUACCAACAGAAUAAGCACCGGCUAACUACGUGCCAGCAGCCGCGGUAAUAC